UACAGAGGGUGCAAACGUUGCUCGGAAUUAUUGGGCGUAAAGCGCACGUAGGCGGUCCAGUAAGUCGGUUGUGAAAGCCCUCGGCUUAACCGAGGAAGUGCAGUCGAAACUGCUGGACUUGAGUACUGAAGAGGGUCGCGGAAUUCCCGGUGUAGAGGUGAAAUUCGUAGAUAUCGGGAGGAACACCAGUGGCGAAGGCGGCGACCUGGGCAGAUACUGACGCUGAGGUGCGAAAGCGUGGGGAGCAAACAGG
rnacentral:rRNA from 1 species